rnacentral:rRNA from 1 species
GGACUAUCUAACUCGCGAAAGGCAACAUCUGGAUACCUUGAUUUCCACCUUGCAAAAAACUAUUCAAGAACAAAAAGGAGAAAGAAAAAUGACCAUUGAGGAAAAAUUCACGGGAUUUAGCUAUCAAGACAAUCAAAAAUACCACCAAGAAGCGGUAGAGAAAUAUGGUCAAGAAGUCAUGGGACAAGCGCUCGAACGCCAAAAAGGUCACGAAGACGAGGCUACGGCCGCCUUUAACCAAGUCUUUCAAACUUUGGCACAAAAUCUUCAAGUUGGUUUACCUGCAACAGCAACCGAAAACCAGGAGCAAGCAGCCAAGCUCUUGCAAGCCAUUCGCACUUAUGGAUUUGACUGCUCUAUUGAGGUAUUCGGUCAUAUCGGUAAAGGUUACGUCUACAACCCAGAGUUUAAGGAAAACAUUGACAAGUUUGGUUCUGAAACAGCCCAGUACACGUCAGAUGCCAUUGCGGCUUACGUUCAGACAAAUGCAGAAUAAAUAGGCUAGGAAUUUCCUAGCCUAUUUUUUACGGCUCUUUGUCAACUGUAGUGGGUUGAAGUCAGCUAAGCUCGAGAAAGGACAAAAUUCGUCCUUUCUUUUUUGAUGUUCAGAGCGAUAAAAAUCCUUUUUUUGAAGUUUUCAAAGUUCCGAAAACCAAAGGCGUUUCGUUUGAUAAGUUUGAUGAGAUUAUUGGUCGCUUCCAAUUUUGCGUUGGAAUAAGGUAAUUGAAGAGCGUUGACGAUUUUUUCUUUGUUCUUUAGAAAGGUUUUAAAGACAGUCUGAAAAAUAGGAUGAACCUGCUUCAGAGUGUCCUCAAUGAGUCCGAAAAAUUUCUCAGGGUCUUUGUUCUGAAAGUGAAAAAGUAAGAGUUGAUAGAUCUGAUAGUGGUGUUUCAAGUCUUCUGAAUAGCUUAAAAUCUUGUCAAGAAUUUCUUUAUUUGUUAAGUGCAUGCGAAAAGUAGGGCGAUAAAAACGUUUAUCGCUCAAUUUACGACUAUCCUGUUGGAUGAGUUUCCAGUAACGUUUGAUAGCCUUGUAUUCAUGAGAUUUUCGUUCAAACUGAUUCAUAAUUUGAACACGAAAACGACUCAUGGCACGGCUGAGAUGUUGGAUAAUAUGGAAACGAUCUAGAACGAUUUUAGCACACGGAAAAAGCUGUUUAGCCAAGUCAUAGUAAGGACUAAACAUAUCCAUCGUAAUGAUUUUCACUUGACAACGAACGGCUCUAUCGUAGCGAAGAAAGUGAUUUCGGAUGACAGCUUGUGUUCUGCCUUCAAGAACAGUGAUAAUAUUAAGAUUAUCAAAAUCUUGCGCAAUGAAACUCAUCUUUCCCUUAGUGAAGGCAUACUCAUCCCAAGACAUAAUCUUUGGAAGCCGAGAAAAAUCAUGCUCAAAGUGAAAGUCAUUGAGCUUGCGAAUGACAGUUGAAGUUGAAAUGGCCAGCUGAUGGGCAAUAUCAGUCAUAGAAAUUUUUUCAAUUAACUUUUGAGCAAUUUUUUGGUUGAUGAUACGAGGGAUUUGGUGAUUUUUCUUUACCAGGGGAGUCUCAGCAACCAUCAUUUUUGAACAGUGAUAGCACUUGAAACGGCGUUUUCUAAGGAGAAUUCUAGAAGGCAUACCAGUUGUUUCGAGGUAAGGGAUCUUAGACGGUUUUUGAAAGUCAUAUUUCUUCAUUAGACUUCCACAAUCAGGGCAAGAUGGAGCCUCAUAAUCCAGCUUAGCGAUAAUUUCUUUGUGGGUAUCCAUAUUGAUGAUAUCUAGAAUCUUGAUGUUUGGGUCUUUAAUAUCGAGCAGUUUUGUGAUAAAAUGUAAUUGUUCCAUAUGAAUCUUUCUAAUGANGUAUUAGCUAGUUGGUGGGGUAACGGCUCACCAAGGCGACGAUACAUAGCCGACCUGAGAGGGUGAUCGGCCACACUGGGACUGAGACACGGCCCAGACUCCUACGGGAGGCAGCAGUAGGGAAUCUUCGGCAAUGGACGGAAGUCUGACCGAGCAACGCCGCGUGAGUGAAGAAGGUUUUCGGAUCGUAAAGCUCUGUUGUAAGAGAAGAACGAGUGUGAGAGUGGAAAGUUCACACUGUGACGGUAUCUUACCAGAAAGGGACGGCUAACUACGUGCCAGCAGCCGCGGUAAUACGUAGGUCCCGAGCGUUGUCCGGAUUUAUUGGGCGUAAAGCGAGCGCAGGCGGUUAGAUAAGUCUGAAGUUAAAGGCUGUGGCUUAACCAUAGUAGGCUUUGGAAACUGUUUAACUUGAGUGCAAGAGGGGAGAGUGGAAUUCCAUGUGUAGCGGUGAAAUGCGUAGAUAUAUGGAGGAACACCGGUGGCGAAAGCGGCUCUCUGGCUUGUAACUGACGCUGAGGCUCGAAAGCGUGGGGAGCAAACAGGAUUAGAUACCCUGGUAGUCCACGCUGUAAACGAUGAGUGCUAGGUGUUAGACCCUUUCCGGGGUUUAGUGCCGUAGCUAACGCAUUAAGCACUCCGCCUGGGGAGUACGACCGCAAGGUUGAAACUCAAAGGAAUUGACGGGGGCCCGCACAAGCGGUGGAGCAUGUGGUUUAAUUCGAAGCAACGCGAAGAACCUUACCAGGUCUUGACAUCCCUCUGACCGCUCUAGAGAUAGAGUUUUCCUUCGGGACAGAGGUGACAGGUGGUGCAUGGUUGUCGUCAGCUCGUGUCGUGAGAUGUUGGGUUAAGUCCCGCAACGAGCGCAACCCCUAUUGUUAGUUGCCAUCAUUUAGUUGGGCACUCUAGCGAGACUGCCGGUAAUAAACCGGAGGAAGGUGGGGAUGACGUCAAAUCAUCAUGCCCCUUAUGACCUGGGCUACACACGUGCUACAAUGGCUGGUACAACGAGUCGCAAGCCGGUGACGGCAAGCUAAUCUCUUAAAGCCAGUCUCAGUUCGGAUUGUAGGCUGCAACUCGCCUACAUGAAGUCGGAAUCGCUAGUAAUCGCGGAUCAGCACGCCGCGGUGAAUACGUUCCCGGGCCUUGUACACACCGCCCGUCACACCACGAGAGUUUGUAACACCCGAAGUCGGUGAGGUAACCGUAAGGAGCCAGCCGCCUAAGGUGGGAUAGAUGAUUGGGGUGAAGUCGUAACAAGGUAGCCGUAUCGGAAGGUGCGGCUGGAUCACCU